UACAGAGGGUGCAAGCGUUGUUCGGAAUUAUUGGGCGUAAAGCGCGUGUAGGCGGCCAGCCCAGUCGGGUGUGAAAGCCCUCGGCUUAACCGAGGAAGUGCGCCCGAAACUAGCUGGCUUGAGUACCGGAGAGGAUGGCGGAAUUCCCGGUGUAGAGGUGAAAUUCGUAGAUAUCGGGAGGAACACCAGCGGCGAAGGCGGCCAUCUGGACGGAUACUGACGCUGAGACGCGAAAGCGUGGGGAGCAAAC
rnacentral:rRNA from 1 species